rnacentral:rRNA from 1 species
UGGGGAAUAUUGCACAAUGGGCGCAAGCCUGAUGCAGCCAUGCCGCGUGUAUGAAGAAGGCCUUCGGGUUGUAAAGUACUUUCAGUCGGGAGGAAGGUGUCAAGGUUAAUAACCUUGGCAAUUGACGUUACCGACAGAAGAAGCACCGGCUAACUCCGUGCCAGCAGCCGCGGUAAUACGGAGGGUGCAAGCGUUAAUCGGAAUUACUGGGCGUAAAGCGCACGCAGGCGGUUUGUUAAGUCAGAUGUGAAAUCCUCGGGCUCAACCUGGGAACUGCAUCUGAUACUGGCAAGCUUGAGUCUCGUAGAGGGGGGUAGAAUUCCAGGUGUAGCGGUGAAAUGCGUAGAGAUCUGGAGGAAUACCGGUGGCGAAGGCGGCCCCCUGGACGAAGACUGACGCUCAGGUGCGAAAGCGUGGGGAGUAAACAGG